UACGGAGGUGGCGAGCGUUGUCCGGAUUUAUUGGGCGUAAAGAGCCCGCAGGCGGCUUGGCAAGUUUGAGGUGAAAUCUCCCGGCUUAACUGGGAGGGGGCCUCGAAAACUGCCAGGCUUGAGGCAUGGAGAGGGAUGCGGAAUUCCCGGUGUAGUGGUGAAAUGCGUAGAUAUCGGGAGGAACACCAGUGGCGAAGGCGGCAUCCUGGCCAUGUACUGACGCUCAGGGGCGAAAGCGUGGGGAGCAAACCGG
rnacentral:rRNA from 1 species